UUAAGGCACCAAUAUAAAUGAAUGGAGAUGAAUGAUAAAAAUCUCCAUUCCUAUUGGUCAAAAAUCAUGACUAAUAGGCUUUGAGGAGGCUCCCCGAGGCCAUAUUAGAGAUUAGGGUUAGUAUUUUGGAUUCAUUCGAGCUUUGAAGGCUAGGGCCAGCAAGUUUAGGUUUUUGGCUAUAGUUUUGGUACAAGUUUUGUAUGAUUUGGAAUUUAUAUGAAGGAGAUAUAAGUGCUCUAAAGUUCAGGAUAAGAAAAUCUUUCGCGAAAAAAAUAUGUUUUGAAGGGAUUUUGUUAUAUUUUGAGUUUUAUGCAAAAUAAAAGAGUUUUGGGAGGCUAAGACAAGAUUCAUAUAAAGGUUUAAGCUAAACUCUCUAUAGCUAGAUACUCAGUAUAUUUCUAGAUAAUAAAUCACGCCAUAUGACACUGUAGUAAUGAUAAAUAUUGUCAAUAAAGAGUCUUCCCAUUUCUUCAUCAGUAUUUGACUUCUUGCAAAGUAUAUAAUGUGCUA
rnacentral:lncRNA from 1 species